GUUCCAAAUGGUUAGUAUCUUCCUCACUACUCACAUUGUUAAAUAUGAAGCAAUAUUUAGAUACUACUUUUUUUUUGUUGUUGUUUAAACACACACAAACACACAAAUGCAGCAAAGUACAAUCAACGUAUGAAAGAAAGGGGAGUUUAAAAACUAAAAAAAUAUAAAAUAUGCAAUUAAAUUUGAAUUCUACUUUGUAUUUUUGCCAAAGAUAAAAGGUAUAAUUUGACAAUAACUUGUGAUGAUUGGUAUUUUCCAUAUUGUCAAUGUUAUGCACUUUUUUUUUUACUUUUUAGGAAGAUUCAGAAAUGAAUUCAUUGAUUUUUCUGCUAAACACUUGUGUUUAAUUGAGCUUUUAUUGGUGGAAUAUCAUUUGUCUUGAGAAUGUGUAUGUCCCUAAUUCAAGAAGAUGGCUCUAUAUUGUUAUAAACAUGUAUAGCUGCUGACUGAUUUUUACUCAAGAUGCAUAUGAAUUAAUACUUGAAAAUGUAUUUUACAUUCAAACUAAAACUGAAAUGUCUAUAUUUUUACAGAUCCCAAAUGUAAAACAAAAGGUAAGAAUUUUUAUCCUUGUAGGGAAGUUUUGACCAAACACAGAUUUGGUUAGUCAGUAAAUAAAUAUAAAUAAAAAAAUGAUGAACUCUGAAAAGAGAACUAAAUGUUUUUUUUUUUUUUACCACAGCAUGAAUUCUAUUCAAAGAAACAUUUUAUUUGAUAUUUUGUUAUUUAGGUUUUGUGAAAAUGGUGUUCAUGGAGAUCAGCUAGCUGCGUUUAAUCGAAUUCAUCGGAAUCAAAAUCGUAUUACACGCAGGAUGUUGAGCAAAAAUGAAGUCUUCCUACCUGUCAAUCAAAACUUCUGAUUGUUUCAGAUCUAAAGAAAUCAACAAACACUAAACAUGUUUAUGUAAAUUUGGAUUAUUUAACAUGGGGGUCAAUGGGAAAAUGUGACUUUUUAAAAGCAAUAUCAUAUCAAAAGUUACUUUUGAGAAAGAUAUUUUAGGGUUUUUGGGGGAUGGUGUUGUAAAACUGAUCAAAAACUCAUAUAAGUUUAUAAUUUUUAAUUUACAAUAGGUUCAUGUAAAUAACCUGAUUAUUAACAUUUUUCAUUGAUUCCAAAGGAUCAAUCAGCUCAGACUCUGCUUGUGGUAGUGAUACUGCCUCCACUUCCUCCAGCUCCUUAUCUGGUGAAAUAAAUGUUAUCGCAACUUUACACCUCAUGAAAGGUUGGUAAUCAUAAUGUCCCUAAAAAUUAACCCAGUUGCAGUAAAAUGCGUACAUAGUCCACGACUUUGCCCUCUGAGCUAAAGAUUUUGUUUUUGUCGUAA